rnacentral:misc_RNA from 1 species
CAAGUACUACGUUGAUCUCAUGAAUAGACAAGGGCUUUUUACGUCCGAUCAAGAUUUGUAUACGGAUCGAAGAACACGAGGGAUUGUAACGAGCUUUGCGGUGAAUCAAUCGUUGUUUUAUGAAAAAUUUGUUAUUGGUAUGAUAAAAAUGGGACAAAUGAAUGUGUUGACUGGUGGACAAGGUGAAAUUAGGAAUAGGUGUGAUAGGAGGAAUAAGGCUAAAAAGGUUGAUAUUGCUACUGUUGUUGAAGAAUUGGAGGAAACUUUUUCUGCUUUGUUUUAAGUUUUAAUUAAUUAGUCUUCUGGUUUUGUUGUAAUGAUAAUAAUGAGUGUGUUAAUUAACUUUUAGUAUAAUAAUCACAUUUUGUUUUGUG